UAAGGCGUUGAAGCAGUGUAUGUCAGACUUCCAAGAAAAGCUCGCAAUGUCACAAAUAAAAAUGCCUGUACCAUAACCGACACAGGUGGGUAGGUAGAGUAUACUAAGGGGCGCGAGAUAACUCUCUCUAAGGAACUCGGCAAAAUGACUCCGUAACUUCGGGAGAAGGAGUGCCUUAUUUAUAAGGUUGCAAUAACAAGAUCCAAGCAACUGUUUAUCAAAAACACAGGUCUCCGCUAAGUCGUAAGACGAUGUAUGGGGGCUGACGCCUGCCCAGUGCCAGAAGGUUAAAGAAGUUGGUUAGUGUAUGCGAAGCUGAUGACUGAAGCCCUGGUGAACGGCGGCCGUAACAAUAACGGUCCUGAGGUAGCGAAAUUCCUUGUCGGGUAAGUUCCGACCCGCACGAAAGGCGUAAUGAUUUGGAUACUGUCUCGGAGAGAGGCUCGGUGAAAUAGACUUGUCUGUGAAGAUGCGGACUACCUGCACCAGGACAGAAAGACCCUAUGAAGCUUUACUGUAACUUGAAAUUGGAAUUGGACUUUGCUUGCGCAGUAUAGGUGGGAAGCGUUGAAAAUAUUCUUGCGGGAGUAUUGGAGCUAUCAGUGAGAUACCACUCUUGUAAUGUUAGAUUUCUAACUUUGAACCAUAAUCUGGUCAAAGAACAGUUUCAGGUGGGCAGUUUGACUGGGGCGGUCGCCUCCCAAAUGGUAACGGAGGCGUACAAAGGUUUCCUCUGAACGGAUAGAAAUCGUAUCUAGAGUGUAAAGGCAUAAGGAAGCUUGACUGUGAGACCUACAAGUCGAGCAGGGACGAAAGUCGGUCUUAGUGAUCUGACGGUACUGAGUGGAAAGGCCGUCACUCAACGGAUAAAAGUUACUCUAAGGAUAACUGGCUGAUCUCCCCCAAGAGUUCACAUCGACGGGGAGGUUUGGCACCUCGAUGUCGGCUCAUCGCAUCCUGGGGCGGUAGUACGUCCCAAGGGUUGGGCUGUUCGCCCAUGAAAGCGGUACGCGAGCUGGGUUCAGAACGUCGUGAGACAGUUCGGUCCAUAUCCGGUGUAGGCGCUAGAAUAUUGAGAGGAGCCCUCUUUAGUACGAGAGGACCGAGAAGGACACACCGCUGGUGUACCAGUUAUCGUGCCAACGGUAAACGCUGGGUAGCUAUGUGUGGAGUGGAUAACCGCUGAAAGCAUCUAAGUGGGAAGCCCACCUCGAGAUGAGUAUUCUCA
rnacentral:rRNA from 1 species